CUUCAGGUUAAGCCGCACUCUGAUAUUUGUUUUUUAAUGAUAAUUCAAGUGGCGUGGGGUGCAAUUCUGGUUCUUUUGCCGAAACUAUAUAGCUACCACUUGAUGAGAAUUGUGAAAAAUUAGCCGCGGACACAACGAAUUCAUUAUAACCAUGCUGUCACUAAGAGUAAAAGCACGCAGUUUGCUUGGAGCUCAACUGCGGCGUUUGUUAAAUAACAGCACACAUCGCUGUUUAACAUUGUCGGCUUCAUACAAUGCGGCUCAAAAUGUUUAUAAGAACGAGAACGAGUGCUUAGUGAUCAAGUGGAACGACGGCAAUGUCGAUGAAUUUCCAAAUGUUUAUCUUCGCGAGAAUUGCCGUUGUCCAGCAUGUUAUACAGAUGAAAGGAAAUCACGUACAAUGUAUUCGCCGAAGGAAGUGAAUCUCGAUAUUACAGCAGAGUCGGCUGUCUGGAAUACUGAGGAUGAUCAGUUGGAAGUUAAUUGGGAAGAUGGUCAUACGAGUCAUUAUUCAUUUGAGUGGUUAAAGUAUUUGAGGUAU